CGAUACACACUUUUCACCUGCGCUGCGCGGUUCUACAUCGUCUGGCUUCGUUACCAAUCCGCGAAUGCUGGCGUCUCAUCUUAUUCCAGGGCUGACGAUCAUCCUCUUCAGCCUCCAAAUCCUGCCCUGAUGAAGCUACGACUGUUCAGUCUUCAUCAAGGCAGGACGUAAAGAGCACAAUUCCGGUCAUAAUAGCAGGUUUCGUUUUGCCGG